UACAGAGGUCUCAAGCGUUGUUCGGAUUCAUUGGGCGUAAAGGGUGCGUAGGUGGCGCUGUAAGUCGGGUGUGAAAUUUCGGAGCUUAACUCCGAAACUGCAUUCGAUACUGAGGUGCUUGAGGACUGGAGAGGAGACUGGAAUUCAUGGUGUAGCAGUGAAAUGCGUAGAGAUCAUGAGGAAGACCAGUGGCGAAGGCGGGUCUCUGGACAGUUCCUGACACUGAGGCACGAAGGCCAGGGGAGCAAACGGG
rnacentral:rRNA from 1 species